rnacentral:rRNA from 1 species
AGGUAUGCUAAUACAGGAUAAUAUAAGAGAUUCACAUGGAUUUCUUAUCAAAGCUCCGGCGGUAUGAGAUGGACCCGCGUCUGAUUAGCUAGUUGGUAAGGUAAUGGCUUACCAAGGCGACGAUCAGUAGCCGACCUGAGAGGGUGAUCGGCCACAUUGGAACUGAGACACGGUCCAAACUCCUACGGGAGGCAGCAGUGGGGAAUAUUGCACAAUGGGCGCAAGCCUGAUGCAGCCAUGCCGCGUGUGUGAAGAAGGCCUUCGGGUUGUAAAGCACUUUCAGUAGGGAGGAAGGUGGUAGUGUGAAUAGCGCUAUCAUUUGACGUUACCUACAGAAGAAGCACCGGCUAACUCCGUGCCAGCAGCCGCGGUAAUACGGAGGGUGCGAGCGUUAAUCGGAAUUACUGGGCGUAAAGCGCAUGCAGGUGGUUUGUUAAGUCAGAUGUGAAAGCCCCGGGCUCAACCUGGGAAUUGCAUUUGAAACUGGCAAACUAGAGUACUGUAGAGGGGGGUAGAAUUUCAGGUGUAGCGGUGAAAUGCGUAGAGAUCUGAAGGAAUACCGGUGGCGAAGGCGGCCCCCUGGACAGAUACUGACACUCAGAUGCGAAAGCGUGGGGAGCAAACAGGAUUAGAUACCCUGGUAGUCCACGCCGU